rnacentral:rRNA from 1 species
GAUGAACGCUGGCGGCGUGCCUAAUACAUGCAAGUCGAGCGAACGGACGAGAAGCUUGCUUCUCUGAUGUUAGCGGCGGACGGGUGAGUAACACGUGGAUAAUCUACCUAUAAGACUGGGAUAACUUCGGGAAACCGGAGCUAAUACCGGAUGAUCUUUUGAACCGCAUGGUUCAAAAGUGGAAGACGGUCUUGCUGUCACUUAUAGAUGGAUCCGCGCUGCAUUAGCUAGUUGGUAAGGUAACGGCUUACCAAGGCAACGAUGCAUAGCCGACCUGAGAGGGUGAUCGGCCACACUGGAACUGAGACGCGGUCCAGAGGCCUACGGGAGGCAGCAGUAGGGAAUUUUCCGCAAUGGGCGAAAGCCUGACGGAGCAACGCCGCGUGAGUGCUGAAGGUCUUCGGAUCGUAAAACUGUGUUAUUAGGGAAGAACAUAUGUGUAAGUAACUGUGCACAUCUUGACGGUACCUAAUCAGAAAGCCACGGCUAACUACGUG